UACGGGGGGGGCAAGCGUUGUUCGGAAUUACUGGGCGUAAAGGGCUCGUAGGCGGCCAACUAAGUCAGACGUGAAAUCCCUCGGCUUAACCGGGGAACUGCGUCUGAUACUGGAUGGCUUGAAUCCGGGAGAGGAUGCGGAAUUCCAGGUGUAGCGGUGAAAUGCGCAGAUAUCAGGAGGAACACCGAUGGCGAAGGCAGGUCUCUGGGCCACUACUGACGCUGAGAAGCGAAAGCAUGGGGAGCGAACAGG
rnacentral:rRNA from 1 species